CUUGCGGUGGCCGAGGGGUUAAGGCGUUGGACUCGAAAUCCAAUGGGAUCUUCCCGCGCAGGUUCGAAUCCUGCCCGCAACG
rnacentral:tRNA from 2 species